rnacentral:rRNA from 1 species
AUACGGGGGGGGCAAGCGUUGUUCGGAUUUACUGGGCGUAAAGGGCGUGUAGGCGGUUUUGUAAGUCAGACGUGAAAGCCCCAGGCUCAACCUGGGAAUUGCGUUUGAAACUGCAUGACUUGAGUACAGGAGAGGAAAGUGGAAUUCCAAGUGUAGCGGUGAAAUGCGUAGAUAUUUGGAAGAACACCAGUGGCGAAGGCGACUUUCUGGCCUGAAACUGACGCUGAGGCGCGAAAGCUAGGGGAGCAAACAGGAUUAGAAACCCUAGUAGUCC